rnacentral:rRNA from 1 species
GAUCCUGGCUCAGGAUGAACGCUGGCGGCGUGCUUAACACAUGCAAGUCGAACGGAACUACUUUGAUGAGAUUCUUCGGAAAGGAUUUGAUUUAGUUUAGUGGCGGACGGGUGAGUAACGCGUGGGUAACCUGCCUCAUACAGGGGGAUAACAGUUGGAAACGGCUGUUAAUACCGCAUAAGCGCACAGUACCGCAUGGUACCNGUGAACAACCGUCGGUGU